GUAUGGUCGGUUCAGUGGUACAUAUACUAAAAUUGGAACGAUAUAGGAAAAACUAACAAGCCCCUGGACAAGGAUGACAUACAAAAUUGUGAAGCGUUUCAUAUAUUU
rnacentral:snRNA from 1 species